rnacentral:lncRNA from 1 species
GGGGUAAAACAUUCUAAAACAUUCUUUAUAUUUGCAGGGUAUUAAAAUUCCCCUGUGUACUGUAGUCAGGGAAGUAUAUGAUUAAGAGUAAAGAUCCUUUCUUCUCAACCCUGUCACUCGGAGUUUUUGUAUAUUUUUGAAAGAAAGUUAGCAUACCUUUUUAUCCUCAUAGGUUCUCUCAGAUCACUCAUUAUCCUUUAUAUAUCUCACUGAGGUUGUUUUAAUUUGCAAAAAUUCUUAAGCAUACUUACUUUGCAUUUAUUGCGUGAUCAAAACGGGAUCCGAGGAGGGGAAUGUCAUACUCUUAGAUCAAAGACUCUGGAAAUUAAAACUUUGUCAACUCUUGCUGGCAUAUUGCUUAUUAGAGGGACCAUAGGCUAUCAAUUUUUUUUCUCUCUCUUUCUUCUUCUUUUUUUUAAGUGGAUACCGAGGUAUCCCUAAUUCUACUGCCAGACACUUGUCCAUUUUUCUGCGAGGUUGUCGAGCACUUGCUCCUUUUUAUUUCCUCGAAAAUAUCUUUAUUUUUGCAUAGCCCGUGCCUCUAAUGCAAUAAUACUUCGGAAGAGUGAAUCUUUCUGAAUAAAUGUCUUGAUCUUAGGAGCAUGAUAAAUCUCUCAACAAGGGUCUAACUCAUUUUGAACAAACUCAAUACAGAGUAGAUAGCUUUUAUAAUCAUAAUUAAUAUUUUCAGUUUUAUCAGGCAUAUAAAACACUGAGGAUGGUAGCUAGAAUUUUAAAGAUUUUGAAAUAAAUUCUCCAAGCAACAAUGGUAUCAAGAAUAAGAAACUCUACCAUCUCACAUUUCACAUUGUCUUAAGUAACACAGGGUUUUAAAAUGAUUUUGAAUAAUUGCAAGUUUUCAGGAAAUAUCACAGAUUGAGAUUAAUCAUGAUUAGAAAUAUUUUAAUCUUUUUAAUUUGUCAUGUCGGAAAUAGUAUUCUGAAUAAUCCAAGAUAUGUGAAGUGUAAAGUAAAGUGUGCAGAGUGUGUACCUGAAUCGUGGAGUGGUGUAGUCGAAGUGUGUUUGGCAUGUCGAGGAUCUCCCCCAUACUUGUUUUCUGCUUUCUUGCACAAAAAAUAAAGUAGAGACACACGAGACAUAAUAAUAAUAAUAAUAAUAAUAAUAAUAUUCUUUAUUAAUCCUGAGGCAUUUAUUACAAAUAACUAGUAGCAAGCUGACGAUAGUAGUAAACUGAUGAUAAUAGUAAACCUAAACCGAAUUUAAAGAUAAAUAACUAAGAUGCAUUGCCUCAAGGUCUAAUCUAGAUAACUUAGUGGCGCUCUAAUUCCUUGAUCUUCUUGUUGGCACUAGCAAGAUCCUGCCUAAGGCCUAGUAUGAUGGUGUUGUGGUUAGAGAGCUGCCUAGUGAGGGAAUUAAUCGAGGACUGGAGGUCUAUGAUAACUCUGUCUAGUCUGCGAACGUCCUCAUCAAUAUCUAUUAUAGUCUUGCGACGCUUGGGAGGUGUCUCAAAAGCAUUGAGAGCGUGCUUCGGGGCUGCCUUUGGAG